UACGUAGGGUGCAAGCGUUGUCCGGAAUUAUUGGGCGUAAAGAGCUCGUAGGCGGUUUGUCGCGUCUGCUGUGAAAACUCGGGGCUUAACCCCGGGCCUGCAGUGGGUACGGGCAGACUAGAGUGCGGUAGGGGGGCCUGGAACUUCCGGUGGAGCGGUGAAAUGCGUUGAGAUCGGAAGGAACGCCCGUGGCGAAAGCGAGGCCCUGGACCCUUACUGACGCUGAGACGCGAAAGCCAGGGAGCGAACGGG
rnacentral:rRNA from 1 species